CCCCCCCCCCCCCCCCCCCCCCCCCCCCCCCCCCCCCCCCCCCCCCCCCCCCCCCCCCCCCCCCCCCCCCCCCGCGCUGUGCCCGCCCCGGGGGGGGCCGCGCACCCUCCUCGGGAUAAACGCGCAAAAAUAAAAAACAAAACCAGAAAGUUCUAGAAUGGAAAAAGACGCGAAACGCUCAAAACUCAGCCCAAAAUCCGCGCUGCGCUUUCUCCACCCCACCCCCGUUCUCGCUCCGCAGCCGGUCCUGCCGCCGCUGCCGGGGCCCCGCGCUGCCCCGCGCCGCGCUCCACGUCCAGUGCGAAACGGGGCCCCUGGCAACAAGUUACUUUAAGGGCAGGGCGAGCGGCCCCGCCCCCGCCGCCGCUCGCCAUUGGUGGAGAGGGCGCGGUGAUUUGAAUAAGGGGCGUGGGCCAGGGCUGGCGGGGCCGCGCCGCCCGCGCGCCGCCACAGAGCCCCCGCUCCGCUCGGCCGGAGCUGCCGCCAGCGAGGGGUCCCGGCUGAGGGACCCGCUGGGCUCCUGCUCAGCGACCGGCUGAGGGAUCCGCUGAGGAAUCCGCUAAGGGAUCUCCUGAGGGUCCUGCUGAGGGAUCCGCUGGGGGAUCCCCUGAGGGUCCUGCUGAGGGACCAGCCGAGGGUUCUGCUGAGGGACCGAGGGACGGGCUGAGGAACCCGCUGAGGGAUCGGCCGAGGGUCCUGCUGAGGGUCCCGACCGAGGAUCCUGCUGAGGAACCCCCUGCGAGGAUUCUGCUGAGGAAUCCUUCAAGGAACCCCCCGAGGGUCCCGCUGCGGGAUCCCCUGAGGGAUCAGCCGAGCAACCAACCCCUCGAGGGUUCUGCUGAUGAAUCCUCCAAGGACCCCCUGAGGGUCCCGCCGAGGGUCCUGCUGAUGAAUGCCCCCAGGCUCCCGCUGAGGGUCCCGCCGAGGCUCUCGCUGCCGCUCCCGCCGCCGCCCGCCCCCCCCCCCCCCCCCCCCCCCCCCCCCCCCCCCCCCCCCCCCCCCCCCCCCCCCCCCCCCCCCCCCCCCCCGCCGCUGUUCCGGCUCUCUGUUCCGGCUGCCUCUUUCGGCUCCUCUGCGCUUUUUCCGCUGCAAAUCCUCCGGGCGCUUCCCCGCCGGCGGGAUGUGUUCGAUACUCCGGUGUCCAGCCCGGAUCGCGGUUUUUUGUUUUUUUUUUUAGGGUGCGGGAUGGAGCGGCGGGAGCAACGGGGAUGCUGCGGGAAAGAGGCUCCGGAGCGGUGCCGUGGGACCGCCGGUUCUUUUAAAUCUUUAAAAUCCCUUUUCCAGGGGUUUUUGGGGCGGUCGGUGCGUGGCAGCGGGGGCCAAGCUCCCUCUGUGUGUCCCGGCGCGCUCCCGCAGCUCCGAGCGCUCUUUCCAGCGGAGGAAAUCGGGGAAUCGCUGGAAAAAAAAGCGACACGAGACCUUCCGUGUCCCCUCCCCGACUCUCUCCCCUCUUUUCCCGCAGCCUUCCCGCAGCAGGCUCGGUCCCGAGCACCGGGAAGCGCUCGGGAGGUCCCGGCCGGAGGAGGAUGCGGCACCUCGGGGUGAGCCUUUGGAUCGGGGAAAAAGGGAGGGUGACCCCCAAAAUCUCAUUUGAAGUUGCCCCUUUCCGAGCCAGCAUUUAUUUGGAGCAUUUGAUUCUAAUUAUCCGAAGAAUUCAGCCUUCUAAUUGCGACUGGGGGGGAAGAGGCGGGGGGCCCCCCCCCCCCCCCCCCCCCCCCCCCCCCCCCCCCCCCCCCCCCCCCCCCCCCCCCCCCCCCCCCCCCCCCCCCCCCCCCCCCCC
rnacentral:lncRNA from 12 species